UUUGCUUGAUGUCGUUUUCCUUUUUUUUUUGAAACGAGGGUGGACUAGGCGGAGGAAGGGCGUUGACUGGGGGUGGUGGAUGGAGGUGCUGUGUUGGGGGCUAGGUGGUGGUGAGAUGCGGAAGAGGAGACGCGGUUGGGAGGCAGCGGCCAGGGGGGAACGAGGCCGGGCGGCGGGGCAAUGGGAGGAAGAGCAGCGGCGGGUCGUUGGGGUUGGCUGCGCGAUGGUGCGGGGACGGAAAGAGGGGCACGAGGAGCGGGUGGAAAGAGGGACGCGGCGGGUGAAGGGUCCGUGGUGGCUACGGUCCUCCAGGGCGGGUCGCAGCGGCAGGGUACGGAGUUACUGGCCUAGCCGGCGGCGGGUCGUGAAGUGGUGCGAAGCCCCGGGGCUAGACGACGAGGGGGCGCGCGGUGGUGUUGCGCGCGGGGUGCUGGGUCUAGACCGGCGCUUAUCUUCACCAUCACUGGGUGGAUGGGGGGCCGGCCGAUGGAAGGUCUACGCCACGAGGGAGGGGGCAGGAGUGGAGGUAGACUGCUAGUAGCCACUCCUAGGUAGCUCUACACGCAAGUAGGGGUUGGGGAGGGGGAAGGGGAGGAUGCCACUCACAGGAGGAGGUGGCUCCGGGGUGAUCGUAGCACCCCAGGCGAAGGGCCGCUCUAUGCCGGUACCCGCGGAAGACGGUGCCCUACUACUGCUGCCACGUCACCACGACGUCAAGCGAGCGUCCCCGAGGCAACCACGCCGGCACCUCAAGCCGGGUAUCCGCGCACUUCAACUGAACGGAGGGAGGGAGUCAGGUGGCCAAAUGUACUUUUCCCUUUUACGGCUGUCGACCUUAAGACCCUACCUUUUUCUCGUUUAUAAUCUCUGGAUGAGACACGUUAAGAUUUUCAGGACUUUGAGGUUCCUUGCAGAAUUUUAUUUAUUUCAUUUUAAGAGCGGUUUCUACUUCCAGCCCCCCGGGUGUGGGAAGAGUGCUCCCACCCCCGCGGGAGGAUUCCGCGGGGGAUGGAGCACCCGGGGAACCACCGAGAAGCCGCAGGUAGAAAAGGAUAUACUUCAGAAAGUUACUCUUUUUUUAUUCCUCCUUGAAAAGCCCUCCUCUGAGGCGACGGUGCUUCGCCUUGGAACCGUCUAGGUUAGAUCUCGAAGCCUUCUCGACAAGACGGCCC
rnacentral:rRNA from 1 species